rnacentral:tRNA from 1 species
AAGGAUGUGGUGUAGUGGUAGCAUCCCGAUCUCCGAAGUCGGUGGUGGAGGUUCGAUUCCUCUCAUUCUUG